AGCGGGGUAGGGCAGUCAGGAGUGCCCGGAGGGCUCAUAACCCUCAGGUCGAUGGUUCAAACGAGGGUAAACUCAGUUUCUCUCUGGAUGUCCAUCCCCCGCUA
rnacentral:tRNA from 1 species